rnacentral:misc_RNA from 1 species
GGUUUGCAAACUCAUAUAUAUAACGCCCAAGACCUCCCUACAGAACCAAUGUGAGACGCAUCAAAUACACAUUUGGUAAAGAAUAAGGAAACUUUGCCUAGUUGGCGCAAUCAACAUACAGGAAUGCAGUAAUAUGUUGCAAACAUGAUUAUUAAUAAUUUGAUACCCCAUGCUAACUUAGCAUUUGAACUAAAAAAGUAUCCAUAUGAAAUAAGCUUACUAAAUGCAGAUAGGUUAAACACUAACUAAACAAAAGUAGCAUAAUAUUUGUUUUCUCCCAUUAUGAUCAAUCAUUUUCUGGUUAUGUGGAUUCAUAGAUCUGCAUUGGCAAAAUUCUACCGUAUUUCUACAUGUGCUUUCUCAAGAAAUUGCAAAUCAUAAUUGAUAAAGAAGCUCACAAUUAACAAACGUGAAAGAAAAUCUUUUUGAAAUUCUGAUAGUAGACAAGAAUUUCACGGUUACGAAAUUAUACAGGAAUAUAACAAUUUUAUAUACUGCAAGAAUAUGAGAAGCAACUAUUAUGUCGUUAUUUUCUUUCAUUAUUCCCCAACAGUAAGUGGAUUAAAACAAUAUAUUGACUACAUCAGCAUAUACAUUCACAGGAACACAAAGCCUCUAUGGAGUAAGUCAAAACCUGUUUGAGACAUGAAAUAGACAGAUGAAGGCAACAUGAAACAAUCACAUACAUAUAUAUGAAUGCAGCUACAUAGUUUUUCCAACAACAUAUCAAAAAUAAUUAAAUGUAUAACCUUGGUACCUUUGGGAUUUUACCAUUUAACCU